UGGGGAAUAUUGCACAAUGGGGGAAACCCUGAUGCAGCGACGCCGCGUGAACGAAGAAGUAUUUCGGUAUGUAAAGUUCUAUCAGCAGGGAAGAUAAUGACGGUACCUGACUAAGAAGCCCCGGCUAACUACGUGCCAGCAGCCGCGGUAAUACGUAGGGGGCAAGCGUUAUCCGGAUUUACUGGGUGUAAAGGGAGCGUAGACGGAUGGACAAGUCUGAUGUGAAAGGCUGGGGCUCAACCCCGGGGACUGCAUUGGAAACUGCCCGUCUUGAGUGCCGGAGAGGUAAGCGGAAUUCCUAGUGUAGCGGUGAAAUGCGUAGAUAUUAGGAGGAACACCAGUGGCGAAGGCGGCUUACUGGACGGUAACUGACGUUGAGGCUCGAAAGCGUGGGGAGCAAACAGGAUUAGAUACCCUGGUAGU
rnacentral:rRNA from 1 species